rnacentral:rRNA from 1 species
UACGUAGGGGGCUAGCGUUGUCCGGAAUCAUUGGGCGUAAAGCGCGUGUAGGCGGCCCGGUAAGUCCGCUGUAAAAGUCCAGGGCUCAACCCUGGAAAGCCGGUGGAUACUGUCGGGCUCGAGUCCGGAAGAGGCGAGUGGAAUCCGUGGUGUAGCGGUGAAAUGCGCAGGAUAAUCAGGAGGAACACCGAUGGCGAAGGCAGCUCGC